rnacentral:rRNA from 1 species
GACGAACGCUGGCGGCGUGCUUAACACAUGCAAGUCGAGCGGUACGGCCCUUUCGGGGGUACACGAGCGGCGAAACGGGUGAGUAACACGUGGGUGACCUGCCUUUAGCUCUGGGAUAAGCCUGGGAAACCGGGUCUAAUACCGGAUAUGACUCCGCGGCGCAUGUUGUGGGGUGGAAAGCCUUGUGCGGCUGGAGAUGGGCCCGCGGCCUAUCAGUCUUGUUGGUGGGGUGANGGCCUACCAAGGCGACGACGGGUAGCCGGCCUGAGAGGGCGACCGGCCACACUGGGACUGAGACACGGCCCAGACUCCUACGGAGGCAGCAGUGGGGAAUCUUGCGCAAUGGGCGAAAGCCUGACGCAGCGACGCCGCGUGAGGGAUGACGGCCUCGGUGUAA